rnacentral:rRNA from 1 species
UACAGAGGGGGCUAGCGUUAUUCGGAAUUAUUGGGCGUAAAGGGCGCGUAGGCGGCCAUUCGUGUCUUCCGUGAAAUCCCUCGGCUUAACUGAGGACGUGCGGAAGAAACUGGAAGGCUUGAGUCCGGGAGAGGGGGGUGGAAUUCCCAGUGUAGCGGUGAAAUGCGUAGAUAUUGGGAGGAACACCGGUGGCGAAGGCGGCCCCCUGGACCGGAACUGACGCUGAGGCGCGAAAGCGUGGGUAGCAAACGGG